GUGGUUGGCUACUGAGGUACAAGCAAGAGACCUCAGAUUAGGAUGGUGGUAGCAGAUAUUGUGUAGAAAGGACAGAUGUUAGAGCCAUUUUUAGGGAACAUUGAAGAACUGGAAUAAUGGACAUGAAUGGAGAAGAUAGGCAUCCAUAUUGGACCAGCCCCUGUCCACAGUAUUGAAGAUAUCCUUAUGUGCAUAGACCUUGCUGGUUCAGUGGCAGUGGCUAGAUCAUGAGUGAGCAUCUCUUUUAGAGCAAGUCUACACAGAGGGAGUGGUUUGUAUGUCAAUAACUCUCCAGAUUGUGUUGCAAACACCAUCUUCAACUCAGCCAUUUUUCUCUUGGUUUUGAAAAAACCAGAGAAU
rnacentral:lncRNA from 1 species